rnacentral:rRNA from 1 species
AUUGAACGCUGGCGGCAGGACUAACACAUGCAAGUCGAACGGAGUGGCGGACGGGUGAGUAAUGCCUAGGAAUCUGCCUGGUAGAGGGGGAUAACGUCCGGAAACGGGCGCUAAUACCGCAUACUAUCGGAUGGGCCUAGGUGGGAUUAGCUAGUUGGUGGGGUAAAGGCUUACCAAGGCGACGAUCCGUAGCUGGUCUGAGAGGAUGACCAGCCACACUGGAACUGAGACACGGUCCAGACUCCUACGGGAGGCAGCAGUGGGGAAUAUUGGACAAUGGGCGAAAGCCUGAUGCAGCCAUGCCGCGUGUGUGAAGAAGGUCUUCGGAUUGUAAAGUACUUUAAGUUGGGAGGCGUUACCAGCAGAAGAAGCACCGGCUAACUCCGUGCCAGCAGCCGCGGUAAUUC